rnacentral:misc_RNA from 1 species
AACGCACCUUGCACCCUUUGGCAUUCCGAAGGGUAUGCUCGUUUGAGUGUCAUCGUACUCUCACUCUCCCGAUGCUUUUGGAUUGGGAGUGGUGGACUUGGGUGCUGCUGCUUAACUGUGGCUCGCCUCAAAUGAAGUAGUGCAACUCUCGGUUGGACAUAGUACGGCGUGAUAAGUGUCUUCGCCGGCGCCUCAUUCGAGGGUGGCCGAUCGGGAGCUCUGUGCUUCAAACCGUCUUCGGACGAUAUCUGACAACUUGACCUCAAAUCGAGUAGGACUACCCGCUGAGCUUAA